UGCUGAUGACACCUAAACAGAUUGUGUAAUUACCUUUGCCCUGGUGGCCCUGGACUGCAACAGAGAUUUCCAAGUCCUAAAGCAGGCACAUGCUGCCUCCAGGCACUUCAAGACAAAAAUACCAAGUUUUAUUCUUACCUGCUAAAAAGAACAGAGAAAGGUACUUUGGAAGAGGUGAGCUGCAGGGUAUAUCUUCUGAAGAUCCCCACCCUGGAUCCUGCAGCAAUUUCUGCCAAUAUUCGGGAGGACAGUGAUAAUGAAGAACAAAAUAAUAAACAUGUUAUACUCUC